UUCAUCAAAGACUCGUACAUAUUAUAAGCAAAACAAUAGUUUCACCCGUUGUAAUCUUAGCAGUUGUGUCAGAACUAGUGACAACUGCUGUAAGGCCGGCGGGACAGUAAUGUUCACAACAUUAGACUGUCAACGGUAAUAGAGUUUUGUGCCGAUGAUUUAAUUUGGAACAAACAUUAAUUAACUUUUUGAAACGCACUGUUUUGACAUUAUAUGUAUAUAUAACAAGAAAUCUACCGAGAUGCCUUAAGGUACACAUUGAUGACGUCUUUAGUAAACUGAUGAAU
rnacentral:snoRNA from 1 species